CCCACCCACCCAGCGCCACGACGCCCCCACGCCAACGCCACACCACGCGGACCGCAAGCCGCGCGGCAGCUGCUCGCAGGCUCACAGCCAGCCAGGGCCUCCUCCACCUUCCUCUCCCACUCCUCCCUGCGAGCGAGAACACGACGCGACCGUCACCGCACGUUGAGAGAUCCCCGCCUCUCGGGCCCGCUCCCCCUGCUCGAUGGUCUCCGCCAGCACGCCGCCGCCGCUGCCGCCGCCGUCCGACGCGGCCGGGUCGGGGGAGGACGCCAGCAAGAAGGUGCGGAAGCCGUACACCAUCACCAAGUCGCGGGAGAACUGGACGGAGCAGGAGCACGACAAGUUCCUCGAGGCCCUGCAGCUCUUUGACCGUGACUGGAAGAAGAUAGAGGCUUUUGUUGGCUCCAAGACUGUCAUACAGAUAAGGAGCCAUGCACAGAAGUACUUUUUGAAGGUUCAGAAAAAUGGAACCAGCGAACAUGUCCCACCUCCACGGCCAAAGCGAAAAGCUGCUCAUCCAUAUCCUCAGAAGGCCUCUAAGAAUGAACCAAACUAUGGACUUAAGACAGAUUCAUCUUCCAUCCAUAGGAACUCUGGCAUGAAUGUGACUGUUUCUUCAUGGGCUGUUAGUUCCAUCCCACCAGCCGUUGCCUCGUCGAUGAUGAAAGAAGAUUUGGGUCCUGGAACUCUGGGUCCAAACAAUUUUUGCUCAAGCAGUACUGAAGUCCCUCCAAGGACGUGGCAACCUGGUGAAGCAAAUGAUCAAAUAAAUCAAGUUCCGUCACUUCGCCUUAUGCCGGAUUUUGCGCAAGUGUACAGCUUCUUAGGUAGUGUUUUUGAUCCAAGCACGAGUGGUCAUUUGCAGAAACUUAAGGAGAUGAAUCCAAUUGAUGUUGAAACGGCAUUGUUGUUGAUGAGGAAUCUCUCCAUCAAUUUGACCAGUCCUGAUUUUGAAGAUCAAGUAAGUAGUUCGACAUGUCUUUAGAGGAAGUUGCUGUCCUCAUAUAGCACUUCUGAUGGACUUGAGCUAGGGAGUUCCAGGAGUUCAGCUCUAGCGACGAGUAGACCUUUCAUGUAAGGAUUAAAGGUGAAUAGUACAGCUAGGUCUCUCGGCGUAUAAUUUCAGUUUGACAGACCCUCUGGAUGGUGCUCUGCCGUAGCACCGAUGAGCAAUGAAGGCACUUGCACGGUUGCACCUAUGUGCUUCCUGCGCUUCAGGCCUUCGGCUGAAGAUCGUGUAAAGGUGCAGCCGUGACCUGUGUAGAGAAGGCUUCCGAAAGGUGAGAUUGGCCUGUGGCCUGAUGUGUAUAUAUAAUUUUUGCCCUGAAGCGUGUACCCUUCCUAUCCUAUUGCUACCCCAAAAGCUCGGCCAUAUAGAUUCCUGAAUGCUGCUUUAGUAAUGGAAAGAGCAAUGGGAAUUUUGAGUGUACCGAUUGCUCCCUUAUCCCUCCAUUGAGUUCUGUUACUGAUAUCAGUUCGGUUUUCUGGCUGCCAUCUGGUAUGGAGCUUCUGCCCGAUGUGGCCAUCUCAACCUGAGCAAGCAUGUCUGUGACUUCCACUUGAGGUGAUCAUAGUGCUGUAAAGCGGUUUACCUUCCCCAUUCAAAUGUUUCUUGUUCCUAUGUAUUAUGUAUUUUGCAUCAGGUGUUAGCCCGUGUGUAAGAGGGGGAAAAUUCAAAAUGUAAAGGAGACUUGUGCACUAGCAUUACCAUUUAAAUUCUAUAUGUGUAAAGGCAACCAUCAACAUGUCUUUUCCA